rnacentral:snoRNA from 1 species
AGCAUUUGUGUGUGUGUUUGUUACAUUGGUGGACAAAGACAUGAAAGACAGAUGCAAAAAUGAAACCUCUUUUGCAACCCAGAACGCCUGUGAGUUUUGAUGCGCAUGAGACAGAGAACA